UGUGUACUCCCUCCGUUCCAAAAUACUUGACUUCCAUUUGUCCAAAAAUGGAUGUACCUAUAUACUAAAACAUGUCUAGAUACAUCUAUAUUUUGACAAAUAGAAGGCAUGUAUUGUGGAACGGAGGGAGUAGAAU
rfam:Triticum aestivum genome assembly, contig: Triticum_aestivum_CS42_TGACv1_scaffold_642434_T_5BL-0.133290_6BL-0.102218